rnacentral:rRNA from 1 species
AUUGAACGCUGGCGGCAGGCCUAACACAUGCAAGUCGAGCGGAGCGGCGGACGGGUGAGUAAUGCCUAGGAAUCUGCCUGGUAGUGGGGGAUAACGUCCGGAAACGGGCGCUAAUACCGCAUACUAUCAGAUGAGCCUAGGUCGGAUUGGCUAGUUGGUGGGGUAAAGGCCUACCAAGGCGACGAUCCGUAACUGGUUUGAGAGGAUGCUCAGUCAAACUGGAACUGAGACACGGUCCAGACUCAUACGGGAGGCAGCAGUGGGGAAUAUUGGACAAUGGGCGAAAGCCUGAUCCAGCCAUGCCGCGUGUGUGAAGAAGGUCUUCGGAUUGUAAAGAACGUUAAGUUGGGAGGCGUUACCCGAAGAAGAAGAACCGGCUAACUCCGUGCCAGCAGCCGCGGUAAUAA